rnacentral:lncRNA from 1 species
AGAGUUUAUAUAUGUUAUCUCGCUUAGCAAUGCUAUCAUUAGGUGUUCUUAUCUCCAUAAAAACAGGGAAAUAGACACUUUGAGAAGUAUUCUGCUCAAGUGUGGAGCUGGUGAACACAGGACCCGGACUCAAACCUGCAUCCAUGUGACUCAUGCCUGCUCCACUAUUCAGGUGUCUUCAGGCCCUGAGCCCUCAGGAAGGGUCAGAGAGAACUGCUGUGCUCGUGCCCCUACCCUCCAAAUUGAGUGCCUGCAUUUUUGGCCCAGGUCUCUGCAAAUUCCAAAAUUUUAUCACUCUCUCUUCUCCAUGGUGGCUUCCUCUCUCCUUCUCUUUUUCUCUGUCAUUUUCUUAAAAUAAAUCAUUUCAGUCUUUUCAUGCCAUUUUGAGCAGUUCAUCUUCUGGAUUCAAUUCACCAUCCCUGGAGGUCAGGGUAACUUCCUGUGUUGAAAUUUGC